AAUCAACGCUGGCGGCGCGCUUAACACAUGCAAGUCGCACGAGAAAGGGUAGCAAUACCUGAGUAAAGUGGCGUACGGGUGAGUAACACGUGGAUCAUCUACCUUUUAGUGGGGAAUACCUCCGGGAAACUGGAGACAAUACCGCAUAAGCUCGAAAGAGGAAAGCAGCAAUGCGCUGAAAGAGGAGUCCGCGGUCGAUUAGCUAGAUGGUGAGGUAAUGGCUCACCAUGGCGAAGAUCGAUAGCCGGCCUGAGAGGGCUCACGGCCACAC
rnacentral:rRNA from 1 species